rnacentral:rRNA from 1 species
CCUGACGACGCAACGCCGCGUGGAGGACGAAGAUCUUCGGGUCGUAAACUCCUGUCGAGCGGGACGAACACCUUCGGGGCCAACAUCCUCGAGGGUUGACGGUACCGCUAAAGGAAGCCCCGGCUAACUCCGUGCCAGCAGCCGCGGUAAUACGGGGGGGGCAAGCGUUGUUCGGAAUUACUGGGCGUAAAGGGCUCGUAGGCGGCCAACUAAGUCCGACGUGAAAUCCCCAGGCUCAACCUGGGAACUGCGUCGGAUACUGGAUGGCUUGAAUUCGGGAGAGGGAUGCAGAAUUCCAGGUGUAGCGGUGAAAUGCGUAGAUAUCUGGAGGAAUACCGGUGGCGAAGGCGGCAUCCUGGACCGAGAUUGACGCUGAGGAGCGAAAGCCAGGGGAGCAAACGGGAUUAGAUACCCCGGUAGUCCUAGCCCUAAACGAUGAAUGCUUGGUGUGACGGGUAUCGAUCCCUGUCGUGCCGAAGCUAACGCAUUAAGCAUUCCGCCUGGGGAGUACGGUCGCAAGGCUG